rnacentral:tRNA from 1 species
GUCCUCGUAGCUUACAGCAAAGCAUGACACUGAAGAUGUCAAGACGGUACGCACUCCACUGCCCGAGAACA